rnacentral:rRNA from 1 species
UAAUUGAAGAGUUUGAUCAUAGCUCAGAUUGAACGCUAGCGGCAAGCUUAACACAUGCAAGUCGAGCGGCAACAUAAUUAAAGGAAACUUUAAUUGAUGGCGAGCGGCGGACGGGUGAGUAAUAUUUGGGGAUCUACCUUAAGAAGGGGGAUAACUAUUGGAAACGAUAGCUAAUACCGCGUAAUGUUUAACAACCAAAGUGGGGGAUUUAUAUUAACAUAUAAACCUCAUGUCUUUAGAUGAACCCAAAUGAGAUUAGCUAGUAGGUAAGGUAAUGGCUUACCUAGGCGACGAUCUCUAGCUGGUCUGAGAGGAUGUCCAGCCACACUGGAACUGAGAACGGUCCAGACUCUUACGGGAGGCAGCAGUGGGGAAUAUUGCACAAUGGGCGAAAGCCUGAUGCAGCUAUGCCGCGUGUAUGAAGAAGGCUUUUGGGUUGUAAAGUACUUUCAGUAGGGAAGAAGUCAUAUAUACUAAUAGUAUUAAUGAUUGACGUUACUUACAGAAGAAGCACCGGCAAACUCCGUGCCAGCAGCCGCGGUAAUACGGGGGGUGCUAGCGUUAAUCGGAAUUACUGGGCGUAAAGAGCACGUAGGUGGUUUAUUAAGUCAGAUGUGAAAUCCCUAAGCUUAACUUAGGAAGUGCAUUUGAAACUGAUAAUGCUAGAGUUUCAGAGAGGGAGGUAGAAUUCCAAGUGUAGCGGUGAAAUGCGUAGAUAUUUGGAGGAAUACCAGUGGCGAAGGCGGCCUCCUGGUUGAAAACUGACACUGAGGUGCGAAAGCAUGGGGAGCAAACAGGAUUAGAUACCCUGGUAGUCCAUGCUGUAAACGAUGUCGACUUAGAGGAUGUAGUUUUUAGCUAUGUUUUCUGUAGCAAACGCGUUAAGUUGACCGCCUGGGGACUACGGCCGCAAGGCUAAAACUCAAAUGAAUUGACGGGGGCCCGCACAAGCGGUGGAGCAUGUGGUUUAAUUCGAUGCAACGCGAAUAACCUUACCUGGUCUUGACAUCCACAGAAGUUUUUAGAGAUAGAAAUGUGCCCUUGGGAACUGUGAGACAGGUGCUGCAUGGCUGUCGUCAGCUCGUGUUGUGAAAUGUUGGGUUAAGUCCCGCAACGAGCGUAACCCCUGUUCUCUGUUGCCAACAGUUUAGCUGGGAACUCAGAGAAGACUGCCGGUGAAAAACCGGAGGAAGGUGGGGAUGACGUCAAGUCAUCAUGGCCCUUACGACCAGGGCUACACACGUGCUACAAUGGCGUAUACAAAGGGAAGCGAACUCGCGAGUGUAAGCAGAACCCAUAAAGUGCGUCUCAGUUCGGACUAGAGUCUGCAACUCGACUCUAUGAAGUCGGAAUCGCUAGUAAUCGUAGAUCAUCAUGCUACGGUGAAUACGUUCUCGGGCCUUGUACACACCGCCCGUCACACCAUGGAAGUGCUCUGCAAAAGAAGUGAGUAGUUUAACUUAUAUCAUAUAAGAGGGCGCUUACCACUUUGUGGCUCAUGACUGGGGUGAAGUCGUAACAAGGUAACCGUAGGGGAAUCUGCGGUUGGAUCACCUCCUUA